rnacentral:lncRNA from 1 species
GGGCGUAUAAGCCGACACUGGAUUUUGGCGACGAGGAUUCAUGGUCUAUGGGUUGAGAAGAAACUCAGAACGGUAAAAAUAGACUUCAUCUGAGUGGAAACAAUGGAUCAACGCCUCCAAUUUUACACUACAGCUACUGGACUCAGUAAGGAACUAUGCUGCACUGUUUUGGUUCAGCUACUCAAAUAAUGUUUGAAACCCUACCCGAAGCAAAGAAGACUUACACAGAAGCAG